CACUUUAGCUGCGAACAGGCAUAUUCUGGGAAGGAAACUUUGUGUAAACGUAUUACAUAGCUCCCAAAAGAAUAAAAUCACCAUUUUUUCAAGUAAAACGGUCUUUUUUAUAGAGAGUUUUUGCACUGAACUCGGAUGGAUUAAAAAAAAUUAAAAAAAAAUUGGAGGUCGGGGACUUUUAUCAGGUCGGGCGGGGACGCUAAACAAGCAAUUUUUUUUUGUG